rnacentral:rRNA from 1 species
AAUCAACGCUGGCGGCGUGCCUAACACAUGCAAGUCGAACGCGAAAGGGGCUUCGGCCCUGAGUAGAGUGGCGAACGGGUGAGUAACACGUGGAUGACCUGCCUUCGAGUGGGGGAUAACGUCCCGAAAGGGACGCUAAUACCGCAUGACAUCCCGCCUUUGAACAGGCGGCGAUCAAAGCUGGGGAUCGUAAGACCUGGCGCUUGAAGAGGGGCCCGCGUCCGAUUAGCUAGUUGGUGGGGUAACGGCCUACCAAGGCGACGACGGGUAGCCGGCCUGAGAGGGCGACCGGCCACACUGGGACUGAGACACGGCCCAGACUCCUACGGGAGGCAGCAGUGGGGAAUAUUGCGCAAUGGGCGAAAGCCUGACGCAGCGACGCCGCGUGAGGGAUGAAGGCCUUCGGGUCGUAAACCUCUUUCAGCAGGGAAGAAGCGCAAGUGACGGUACCUGCAGAAGAAGCACCGGCUAACUACGUGCCAGCCGCCGCCGUAACAC